GACGAACGCUGGCGGCGUGCCUAAUACAUGCAAGUAGAACGCUGAAGGAGGAGCUUGCUCUUCUGGAUGAGUUGCGAACGGGUGAGUAACGCGUAGGUAACCUGCCUGGUAGCGGGGGAUAACUAUUGGAAACGAUAGCUAAUACCGCAUAACAGUAGAUGUUGCAUGACAUUUACUUAAAAGGUGCAAUUGCAUCACUACCAGAUGGACCUGCGUUGUAUUAGCUAGUUGGUUGGGUAACGGCUCACCAAGGCGACGAUACAUAGCCGACCUGAGAGGGUGAUCGGCCACACUGGGACUGAGACACGGCCCAGACUGCUACGGGAGGCAGCAGUAGGGAAUCGUAGGCAAUGGACGGAAGUCUGACCGAGCAACGCCGCGUGAGGGAAGAAGGUUUUCGGAUCGUAAAGCUCGGUUGUAAGAGAAGAACGAGUGUGAGAGUGGAAAGUUCACACUGUGACGGUAUCUUACCAGAAAGGGACGGCUAACUACGUG
rnacentral:rRNA from 1 species